CGCUUCUUUUUGAAGUCUUUGCUUUUCCAUAUUAGGCAUACCUGGCUUAAUACUUACAAUCGAGCAGGGUAGCUAUCUAUCUGCGUGCUCUUAAGUUUGGACAUUUUGGAGUAAGCUAGGUUGGAGCUCCCUGGUGAAAUUAAUUAAAGAGUUUACAUUCCUCUUCAUAAAUAGAUAUUUAGGGCGCACACACACACAUAUAUAUAUAUAUACAGUCUUAUUCCAGAGAGGGAUCCCUCUUUAAAAGGAGACUAUAUAUAUAUAUAGACACACACACUCGCAUAAGAAGCUGAUUGUUUCACUCCUUCACCUCAACCAGGCGGAAACACUGAAGGCCUGAAGCCUAGCUCCUCCAUUUCACUGGAAACUGAUGCAUCACCAGCAUAUGGAUGUAAUUCAAUCAUAAAUUUCUUGUUUCUCACUUUGGAAAUUUCGUAGGUGCUAAUUUGUAGUAUAAAUUUCUUGAUUUUGUUUUACACGUAGACAUGAGACAAACAUUGAUAUAACAAAGUUGCUUACACGUAUAAUACACGUAAAAGUUACUAUUAUCAACAAGACACUCGUUGCUUGGAAAAUCUGUACACGCGGGUGAAAAUACCAAUUAUAGAUUUAUGACAAAUUAAGUUGUCCAAGUCUUCCCGUGACUUUGUUUCAUAAAGAUAGUUUGUUUGAUUAUUAGUUUAGGAAACAACGUAUACAAAAGAAAGAGAUAUGAACUUGUUUAGCUCACUUGAUAUCAAUUGAUG
rnacentral:lncRNA from 1 species